GCCAUCAUUUAAAGAAAGCGUAAUAGCUCACUGGUCGAGUCGGCCUGCGCGGAAGAUGUAACGGGGCUAAACCAUGCACCGAAGCUGCGGCAGCGACACGAAUGUGUUGUUGGGUAGGGGAGCGUUCUGUAAGCCGGUGAAGGUGAACUGUGAGGUUUGCUGGAGGUAUCAGAAGUGCGAAUGCUGACAUAAGUAACGAUAAAGCGGGUGAAAAACCCGCUCGCCGGAAGACCAAGGGUUCCUGUCCAACGUUAAUCGGGGCAGGGUGAGUCGACCCCUAAGGCGAGGCUGAAAAGCGUAGUCGAUGGGAAACAGGUUAAUAUUCCUGUACUGGCCAUAAUUGCGAUGGGGGGACGGAGAAGGCUAGGCAAGCCGGGCGACGGUCGUCCCGGUUUAAGUGUGUAGGUGGGAUAACUUGGCAAAUCCGGUUAUCCAAGACACUGAGGCACGAUGACGAGGCAUUACGGUGCUGAAGUUGCUGAUGCCCCGCUUCCAGGAAAAGCCCCUAAGCGUCAGGUUAUGGUCAAUCGUACCCCAAACCGACACAGGUGGUCAGGUAGAGAAUACCCAGGCGCUUGAGAGAACUCGGGUGAAGGAACUAGGCAAAAUGGUGCCGUAACUUCGGGAGAAGGCACGCUGGCGUCAGGUGAAGAAACACGCUUUCGGAGCCGAGGCCAGUCGCAGAUACCAGCUGGCUGCAACUGUUUAAUAAAAACACAGCACUGUGCAAACACGAAAGUGGACGUAUACGGUGUGACGCCUGCCCGGUGCUGGAAGGUUAAUUGAUGGGGUUAGCCGCAAGGCGACGCUCUUGAUCGAAGCCCCAGUAAACGGCGGC
rnacentral:rRNA from 1 species